GAAUCUAAAAUUUGAUGUAAUUAUGGUGCUUGUCUAAUUUGUGGGUUUGAUGAGGAUAUUGUGGACCACUGCUUCAUACAAAGCAUAUUAGUAAUAUAACUGUAACAACUCCAUGGAUUGCCUUGAAUAAUGGUUAGAACAUCUGAGGUAAUGGUAAGAUUCUGUAGACUGCUGGGCCAGAUGGAAUGGCUUAGGACAUGCAUCUAAAGGAACAAAAUAAGAACUUAUGUUGGUCUGAUGUUCAAUUUGGGUGUCAAUUAGACAACAAGGAAAAUAUGAUUUAUUUAAUUGGGAAGAUUAAUCUGUUGAGGGGACCCAAUUUGUAUUACUAGAAUGGUACUGUUUUGUAUAUGUGGAUUGACAAUAUAGUUGAUGUAUUUAUUACUGACAGAUGGAAAUUAAAAAAUGCAAUAGCCAGUUGGUUUCCAAUUUAGGAAGGAUGCUUGAUGUUAGUUUAAGUCCCCUGGGUGUUUAAACCUGACGAGGUUGUACUGAUGGUAAACAUUGAUCAUCAUAUAUGGCUUCAUCAAAGGUUGAUUCUUAAUGAAGGAGAUGAUGAAUUGGUUGAGAGUAUUUUGAAUAAGUGGGUUCAGGGCUUGACUGUUGAAGCAAAAUCUUUUUAUCCUAGUUUGUCUAACCCUAGUUGUUAUUCUUGGAAGACUAACUUUGUCUUGGUACAAGGACAAAGAUGCUCUUGGAGUAACUAUCAAGAAGCUGCCAUAUGCAAUUAUGCAACUAGAAACAGAACACGAGACUUUGGACUAUGUUUCCAUUGUUGGAGUUUGAACUGUGUCUCUGAAGUCUUGCUCUUUGUUAGUGUUACAUCAGCUGUUUAAUGCAGUAGCAUGUUGUUAGACAGGACCAGAUGGAGAACCCCUUGCAUGCUAAGGGGCAUGUACCAUAUUACUGCUACUUUUUGAUCCAUCUCCUUGUUGCGUGGUAAAUGACCAUCUAGUGAAAAAUUAAAAGUUAAAAGAUCGAUGUCUUGUAAUCGAUUUUGUCAGUCGUAUUAAAAAUGUGAAUGCGAUAUUGGUGAAAAUAAUCUAAAAAGGCAAACAAUGCCUAGCGCCUACACAAAGUUAUGCUAGCAAAAGUGCAAUUUACUAGCUCUUAGCGAGUCCGCGAUCAAAUUGUUUUGCUCCACAUCAUAGGUAGUUGUGUAUGUGUUGUCUUUUCUACCAUAUGAUCAGUCUUCAUGAUAUGGUUUGAUCGAUGUCGCACAUAUGUUGCUCAUGGUUUCUGAGGAUUGAAUUACUCUUUCAGACUAAACUAUCCAAUAUAUAUGCUUGGAUAAGAUACUUAAAGAAAGCCCUUUAGAAAUUUAGGUUCAAUUGGUGACAGAGAUCCAUAGACAUUCAUGAUGUACCAGAGGUUAGAUGGCCUAGUGCAUUAGAUGUUAGAAAUUGUCAGGGUCAGUUCAAUUUUUGCCUCCCCUACCUAUUAUAUAGAAUAACAAUACUUCUUGAGUAGUUAUGAAGUAACAAAAUUCAUGCAUUGGAUUCAGCUAAAACCUAGGAUUAUACCAUUCCAUCCUCAAUCAAGUAAAAGUUUUAAUCAUGAAUCCUAAUCAGGCUUGCCACAGGUUAGGAUGAGAAGCUAAUACAUGCUUCGAAAUGUGAGAUCCUAAUUUUCUCUCUAGUAAUUCUUAUCUGCCAGGCAUCUUUUAUUGCCAGAUGAAAUGCUCCAGCGUCCAAACAGGACAUUAGCAAAUCAGACUUGGGAAUUCCAACAC
rnacentral:lncRNA from 1 species